rnacentral:tRNA from 1 species
CGGGCUGUGGCGCAGCUUGGUAGCGCGCCUCGUUCGGGACGAGGAGGUCGCGGGUUCAAGUCCCGCCAGCCCGACCA